GCUUCUUAGUGACAAUACAAAAAAAAUUGUAUUAUAAUAUUUUUUUGUGUUGAGAAACUAAUUCCCCUCAACAUGUUUAUUAUUAGUUCAGCCUUUAUUAAAAUAUUUUACAGGAUUAUUUUAUGAUAUAAUUGAUAGAACAUAACAUGACUUCUUAGGGGGAAAAUUAGGGUAAAUGGUGUUUUUUUAAAACAAACAAACAAACAAACACUGAUUUACUUUUGUUAAAGGAUUAUGCCUCAAGAGGCACAUGGGAAGAGACCUGGCUGUUAUUUUAGUUGCUCACCAGGAAGAUGUCUCCAAGUCAAAUACCAGUGGGUGUUCAGCUUUCCUUGUAUAAUCAGGCUCUUUUUAUUAGCUCCACACCAAAGAGGUCUGCUCACCCCAUCUAUCCAUCAUCUCUUACAACACCGAGCAUUUCCUAUGUGCAUAACCCUGAGCUCAAUGUUGAAAUCCAGCAUUGAAGAUGGCCAGUGAUUCCUGCCAUCCUGUUCUAGGAGAUGAGACAGACAUUAAAUGACUGAUAACCUCAUUAAGUAUAGGGCCUCCUGGAAAGUCACUGAAGUGAAAACUCAUUUGCAGUUCUGUGAAGCACUCCUAAGAACCAGGAAUGGAAGUUUUGUCCCAGAGAUGCCAACCAUCAACACUAUGUAUAAGAGGAGGAAGAUGCUGGAAUCGUUGCCACCCAGGCUGAUUUGAAAAUCACAUUUCAGAACGAAAACAAAUGACCCCUUUUGACCCCUGGGAAAGUAUGCUUGUGACUUCAGCUGCCUACUUCAGAAUUUGCACAGUAAGCCAUAUCUUUACAACUGGUGAAGAUUUGCUGAGAAAAUCUGGGAUGAAUGCAAAUCCCCAUCAAGCCUCCGUAAGGCCCUAGAGGUGACAUUCCAUACUGGAGGCUGUCAGCACUAUCAGUGGACACUGGAAGCUGCCUGUACCACCGCUACAGGACACCAGAUGUUGCCACCAGGGGAGUGAGAUUUCAACUGUUGCUACUGCUUAGUAACAAUGACUCCAGACUAAGAACCCCCCACAGAGCACUUGGUUCACCAAGCUUAUGACUACGAACCACAGCUGCCAGAGCACUAAAGAAACCAUUAACUCAUCAUCUCUACCUCCUUUUCAGCUUCUGUAUUAGAAGAUGGGGCUCCAAAGCUCACGACACAGAGAUUCCACAAAUGAAAGAAGCGUUGAGAUACCAGGAAGAUAUAUUUUGGCAGGUCAAGCGCUCAGACUGGGUAUUCCAGAUGAAGUUAUUAAUUCAGAUCCAGUUGAAGAAGCAAUCAGAUUCACCUAGAGAAUUUUAAGAAGAUAAUGAUAAAAGUGGUACAAAUUGAGAACAAGGUGCUGGAAAAGAAUGUGCAUUCUUUACUUGAUGUAUGUGAGAUACUAUUUCUAAUCAAGUGGUUAAAAGGGCUGAAAACCAAGACCAGACCAGGCCACUGUAAGACUGAAGGGCUUACCAAACGCUCCGAGGAGCUGACUGCAGCAAAGAACACAUGGGAAGGAACACACUGGACAAGUUGGAAAGUAAAACAGACCUUAGUCUGGCCAGACAGCACUCCCAAAGCAAAGUACUUAGAGAGGAGACCAGCCCAGAGUCCAAGGCUCUUUUUAUAGGGAGUUGCAGGGCAAGUUAACAGGUGAAAUUUACAGAAGAGGAACAAAGGUUAGUGGUCAGCUGACACGUACUGAUGGUCAGCAGAUGUUUGUAGAUUGUUCUAUAGAUGGCAGUGUCCGGAACAUCAGUUUCAAACAAAGAGUUGAGUAAUUUACUUUGGGACCUUAUGGCUGAUACAGAUCUUAUCUAGUGUCCCUAACUAACAAGCAUCUUUAUCUAUUUACUCACAUUCAAUCACAGUUGGGGCUAGGGGAGUUUUAUGACUACAGAGUUAUGCAGUCCCACACCACAACAAGCCUUUAUUAGGGGAAUAGAUCUGCCAGGCUGUCUCUGAACAAAGGAGAGACAAAAGCAACAUGGCCGGGGCAGGGAGAGUCUUUUAUAGAGACUGGAGUGGGGCUUGUAGGGGCUGAGGUGGGGUUGAGUGAGGUAGUGACUAGGGAGCGGAGGAGCCAGUGACAUCACUAGGUGGUAGGAGGUGAGCGAGUAUUAGGUUACUCUCUAGGUGGGACCAGGGGCAUGCUAGGAAGAAGGGUUUGUUCUUUGGUGGGAGCAACCAUCUUGGCGUGAUGUCACCCAGGGGAGGGAGCAAGGCACAAUAGGAAGAGGGCAGCUACUAUACAUAAUAGCUGCUGAGGUGGUGGGAGACCUAUCAGUCUCGUGCAAUAUUAUGUGAGUCCUGCAUCCCUGGCUCAGGUUCCAAGUGUUUGGAAAUGGUGCCGAAACUGUGCAGUCAGGAAAGGAGAGCCUAUAUCUGGAAUAUAUGUCAGUUCCAGUCAAAAUGGAUCGUGGAUCCUCCCGGAUAGAAGCGCUCUGAUAUAACUGCCUUACCACCGAGCAUAGAGUCCCGGCAUGCGGAAUGCAGCCUUGGUCUCUGGCCAGCAGUCUAUUCAGCAAUGAGAUCAUCCCUGGUGAGGAGGAGUCCGUUCUGCUCAGUUCAUGCAUAACUCCAUCCACUCUUGUUAUUCACCACUCAUGCCAGCACUACAGGAGGCCCAGCACUGACCAGAUGGUGACUACUCUGUACUUGGUUGUUUAUUUAUCUUCUGUAGUAGGCAUUCUCUGGAGGUCAUUGGCCAGUGAUACAUAGUUGUUCAAACUUCUUGCUCACUCCUGUUGGCCCAUCCCUCAAUUUUCCAUUUUUGCUGUCCCUUGCCUUCCACUAUUUCUAUUUUCAGGCCCUGUUUGAAAACAGUUGGAGGUGUUGGCUGCCACCCAUCUAGUCUUACCUCAAGCCAAGUUGCUAAUCCAAGUACUGUCUUCUUCUACUCUCUGCCAUGGAAAUCCUAGCAUUUCUACUUCACUAAAUGUGUGCCUUGAUUUUCUCUAAGCUUGCAAGAGUCAGCCCAGCAUUGUCUUAGCAAUGUCUCCUGGAAUGGCAAGGCACUGAAUCCUGCAUCAGAUAAGCACUUGCAUGUUUACAGACUCUAUCAACGGAAGUUUUUGACCUGGGCCCCUCAGUGCAUUGUAUACACCCCCAGUUUCUGCAGAUAAGUGUUGGCGACUUCCUACAGUUCUGAAGACAAACGCCCUUUUCUCCCUUAGUAGUCUCAGCACUUCCCUGGAUAGAUUAUUUGGGAGUUUACCUCUGAUUAUCAUUCAGAUGGCCAGGAGGGAUGUUAGGGCUGUUUUCUGAGGUGGGAAUGUAUUGUUGUGCAAGCCAGAAGCCUCUGAAUUGCCCUGAGCAAGGUGGGGAGCAGAAGUGUUGAGCAGGGCUGUCCAGGCCACCUCUGCAGGCCCAAACCAUUCAGGGGGACCUCAGAGUUUCAGAUUUCCAAAUUCAUUGACCCAAAUGUCCCCAUCCUAAUUUUUCCCCACCAAGACCCUAAGCUACACAUAUAAAGAUGCCAUGAGAAUUCAACCUUCUCUAGAAUCCCACCUCUGCUAUAAUUAAGUCCUGAGUCUGACCACUCUUUGUUUCCCCUGUGACUACAAGAAAUGACUCCUUCAUAUGCUGCCAGGGAAGUUCUCUGAUGUUCACAGUGCAUCUUACAUUGUGAAGGUAAUUAAUCACCUUCACACCUUUUAUUAUAUUUCUCUAGUACAAAAAUAGCCCCCAGCAACAGCCAUCUGAUUUCAUUUAAUUACAACUUCCUAUAAACCUCUCAAAUGCCUGAGAUAUUACCCUCAUUAUCCUCUACCAAUAUCCCAUCCCAACUUCUCCACCAGUAAAGCUUUUGCAGUUAUAGCAUGCCAGGGACUAUGAAUACUCC
rnacentral:lncRNA from 1 species